rnacentral:lncRNA from 1 species
GGUACAAAAGGCAGAGGCUGGCCUUCUGAGGGCAGAGACGAAGAAGGCGGAGAGCAAGCCCGCCCGGGGAACAGGUGGAGAGGGGGCAGCAGAGCUAGGCAGGACACAAUAAGAGGUAAAGCUAGGAAAAAAAAAAAAAAGAACGAAAGGGAUAAAGAGCCAGUGAGCAGACCUGACACAAAUAAGGAGAAAUGAUGAUUAAAAAGAUGUGUGUGAAGAGAAAAGGAGGAAACAGGAAAAGGGAACAAGUAAGGAGAUAAGGAGUAAGCGCACAAGCUAAAUGCUUAGAAAAUCACCAGGCAGUUUGGCUGACUGGGAGAAGCGCCAUAGCCAGACUCCAAAGGGAACCAUCAGAAAGACAGAGGCAGGCGAUUUAAGUAGCCAGUUCCUGAGGUAAAAAUGAAAAAUAAAUAAAUAAAUAAAAUAGAAGAUGGAAAAGGUGAGAAGCAGGAGAGGGAAAACCCAGAGGAGACACUGGCCCAGAAACCUUUUUAACUUUCUGCAAGAAUCUUCAAGGCCCCAAACUAGGCCAAGAUUCUGACUGACAUUUCUGAGCUCACCAGCUGCUGUUUCCUUGAGAGAAUUCUGACAGGAAGGCAUAGAAAUGCAAGCCAACACUGCUAGCUCUGGAGAAAAAAAAAAUCCACGCUCCAAACACCUCCACGGGGCUGGAGCCUGCCAGGGAAGAAGGCAUACAGAGGAGGGACCCGGCGGCAACUUUUCCCCAGCCCUGCGGGCAGCCUGCUUCUGUCAUCUGAAGCCAGCUCCACGGUGUCUCCAGAAGCAGGUGAAGCUUCACAUCUGCAUCCCACAGGGGCGGGGGAGGACAUCGCUGGAAUCCAGCUCCAUCAGGCAGAGCCAGGCCAGGGGAAUUGGAGGAGAGAAAUCGCCCCAGCCCACAUGA